GCGGGAAACGGGUCUAUUGUAAAUAGUUGGAUUGUGGGUAAAACGGAGUUAAAUGUUCAACCGCUGCAGAGGCUUCUGGGGAAAAUAAAGGGGUGACUGUGUGUUUGGCACUGGAGAAACAGAGAAAGUGAGGGGGGCGCUAAGAUGGCUGGAAAGGUUGGUUAGCGAUGCAGGUCCUUGAGGAAAAGAGGUUCUCGGAUCGAAAGCAUCAUUUUCUUUGUUUGCUGAUGAGUGAUGUUCUAAUAAGACGUUCGUUAUGAACGCUCCCUGCGCGUCCUUCUUCGCCCCAUCCGAACCCAGAGCGCUGCGCGCCGCAAUAUGUUUACAGCUAUACACGGUCUCCUGCUAAUUUCUGUAGGGUCGUGUCCCAUGAGGAUGACCUGGUGAACCUGCCAUCUGUGACAUGUUGGCUUUACGCGCUGUGUCACUCCUCCAUUGCUCGUGUAAAAGGGACAGUCCGCUCUGUCAGAUGUUCCUUUAAAAAAGUGCAUCCCCUCCGCCGCGUGGGCCGGUUCGUGGGAGAUGACGCCCCGUCCACGAGCGCAACUCAACUCGUGAACCACUCAGGACCGGGGGUUUGAGCGCCGCGGCUCGGGGAUCCGGGGUCGUGUGCUCGUUUGCGGGAGCGGAUCCAGAGAGAUGCUCGGCCGACAACAACACCGAGCCCCGAGAGAGAGAGAGCCGCACCGUUAUAUUUGUGCAAUCGUUUCCAAAAUCGUUGCCUUUAAAUAAAAAAAUACUUUAAAAUUAUUUAAAAAAAAAAAAAAUAGCGACCAAUUCAACAAAGGGGUCUAAAUAAGCGCUUUACGAUUUUUUUUUUUUCUCUUUUCUUCGAAUAAAGGUAACAAUGGAUGUGGCGGAUCUGUCGUUCGCUUUGCCUGCGAUUCUUUUCACGCUUCUUGCGAUUGUUUUAGCGAAUACGAUUUUCGGUAAGAAAACCACGAGUGUCCCGCAGUCCGAGGCGCAGAGCGGUGCUCCCGCUGAGAGCGACUGGACCGCGGACGAGCGAUGUGAGCGUGGACGAGAGGCGGACACACCGGCCCUGCCGCCUCCUCGGACCAUAAUAAAGGGGGAAUUUGAGGGAGCGGAGCCCGUCGGCGGGGGGCAGCUGCAGGAGGACGGAGCGGCACCCGCCGAGUCCCCGCCGGGCCCGCAGGUGGAGGACGACGUGGGCGUGAGCACGAGCACGAGGUGCCCGGGACGCCGCCAGGUGUCCGGGGAACCGGAUUAUAACACGGAAGGGAGUCCUGAAAUCGUGGGUGAAGGAGACUGUAAAGCAGUGCCGGAGGCUCAGACAGCGUUCUUGAAGACAACCAAUUUGGUGCAUGACCCUAUCCAAGACGUGGACGUCAUCUCCAGACCCAUCCCUGUCAAUGUGGCACCCUGCCACCUCUCACUUGAGAGGGAUGUUUUUCUACACCAUCUUCCUGACGUGGAAAUUCACAAGACCAGCCCAGACUCAGAUUCGGAACCUGCACUUGAACAGGUGGAGGAUGAUCUGGCUGCACUGGAGGAGAACCUUGCAGAGUACAGUCCAGAAAAUGAGGAUGAUGAAGAUACGAUUGCGGUCGGUACAGAGGCCCAGGAUCUCUCCCUGAGAUACGCUCUUGGGAAGCUGAGAACCAGCCAGCUGGAGGAGAUGAUGACCAAGGAGGAGGUGGAGGAGAAGGAGCAGAGGAUAGAGUUCACAACUGAUUUUACCUCUCUUUAAACCACAAGGACAAGCAGUGUGUUUUAGAAAACACUUGUCCAGUCUAGGGUUAGACUGCAACACAGGGUUAUGGAGACUGACUACCACCAGAGAGAAGCGCACCAAUCCUUUCGGAACGCAAAAGGAUCACCUUCAUUGGCCAUUGGCAGCACAUGAGCCGUAUCUCUAGGUGUGAGACGUGCCAAGACAACAAGCGGAAGUGAAUCUUACCCUUUGCGACACUCUACCCUAUCGAAGCGAAACAAUCAAAAAAACACCAUUCUAACCUGACUCCUAAUUAAAGAAAAGCUGGUACAAAUGAAGAUGUCACUCACCCCAUUCCAUUCCACCGCAUUUAUACAUAUGUACAAUGAAGAUAUAAUUACACAAAAUACACAGUUGAGGCUUUUACCACUAUUAAUGAAGCUAUUAAACUUCCUAUGCAUGUACAUACCAGUUCUCAUUCCAAAAUAGACAGUCCAGCUAUAGCAGAUCGAUAGCAACAGCAAGACCACAAAAUCUUUCUGGGGUAGCCCGUCUCUUUCUCUCUGGUCCACUGGCUAUGCGACUUUUCAGUCAUCUUCCAUUUCUGCAGGCCAGUCACAGUUGGAUGUCGAUUGGCCUUCCCAGGUUUACCUGUAAAUGGAGAAACACAAACGCCCACAAGCAAAAUAUUACAGCCGUAACACUUGUGCUGCAAUUCCUGAAAGCAAUUUUUUUACCGUUUUUUCAGCAAAAUAAUUACACAAAUCAAAAAAGCUAUAAGACAAGAAAACCUCACACUGUAUUAUAUUGCAAGACUAUUGAAAAGACUGCAAUUUUCACAACUGGGUCAUUCCAGAGGAGGAAGCUCCUGCUCCUGCCGAUGCACCAGCCCUUCAUACUGUUUUCUCAUUUCUUUUUCUAAUAUGUUUCAUGUUCUCCAGCUGUUUGCACACAACAUCAUUUUACUGUGCCAUCCACCUACUGCUGUACUGUGGUAACAUUUUAGGAGCUGUUUAAUGGCCUAUAAAAUAUUGUUUAAAUGUUAAUAAAGACG
rnacentral:lncRNA from 1 species